rnacentral:lncRNA from 1 species
UUACUUAUGCAUCAAAGUAAGAUUUGAAAUUUUAAUUGUAAUAUUUUUUUGAGAGAAAGGUAACAAGUUACCCGAUUCGUUCAUUUUUUUAGAAAUAAACUUUGUUAGAAAUGUGAAGCAACUUGGCUUCGAACUUGGAAACUUAGAUACCAACCAUCAAACCCUUCGCCAGUUGUGUCAGGUACGGUUGGUGACUAUUCUAUGUAUUGUUAAAUGCUAAAAUGAAAAUUUAUGAUUCUCUAUAUGUAGAUGUUUUGAAUUUCGGAGAAUAUAUCUAAAUGGUUAGAUCUUAUUAAGGUAUAUAUUAGAGAGUUUUACGAAGUGUUACACAUGAGAUUUACCUAUAUAGCUGAGUGCAUGUAAUAUUUUCUGUGGGCCAACCUAUCGAAAAUUUGAAAUAUUUGAAUUUGUUAUCUAACAAACAAUAGUAAUUUUAACGCUAUUAAGCUAUUAAUUUUAACAUUAUUAAAUUUUAAAAACUAUCAAUUUUAAAAAUUUCUUGACAAAUAACUCAGUCCGCACAUUAAUUUCAAUAUAUCUAAUGACAAACUACUGAAAUUAUAUUUAAACAGUUUUGUCAGGUAAAUUUGCAACCAAGAAGAUCAUUCAAAGUACAGUAGAUAUAUAGAAUUUAGCUUUGGUAUUCAAGUUAUUUUAAUCUCUCUUUUCAGUCGGUCAUCAAGUGUUGAAAAAUUUAUUGAUCUUAACUUAGUAUUCAACUCCAAACUAUAAUUGAUGGUAAGUUUCUAUCAAAAUCUGAACAUAUUAUUAUUAUUAUUAUUUAAUUAAAACCAUCUAGCAACUAUGAUCCUGCAGCGAAGCGUGAGCCUUCACUAGUUAUUCAUUUGUACAUUAGCAUAGCAUAAGUAGUAAUCCACCGUAUUUGCAACUCACACUUAGCAGAUCCUUAGAAAUGAAACCGUAGCGGCCUCAACCAACAACUAAGUACCAUUUUGAAACAGACCCCUCAAACUUUAUUAUUAUUUUUUGUAUUGUAUUUACAGUUCACUAUCUGCAGAUCCUUGGAUAUAAAACCGUAGCUGCAUCAGCUAACGACUAUGUAACAUUUUACAAUAGACCCCUCGACUUCAUUCCCUUUUUCUUUGACAACCCGUCAAGUUUUGCUUGUUUUAGUUAAAUUUGGGAUUCCUAACGGAGCCAUUGGUUUUGAAAUGAGCAAACGCAGAGGAGGAUGGCCCGAUCGAAAUAUUUGACGAAGUUGAAGGACCCAUUUUGAAUUGCUUCGAACGCUUUCGCCUCAGCAGAUCACACAGCAUUGAGGGUAGUCCUCAGUAACUUGUACAUAAGAAGGUAUGACAAUGUACGGAUUAAUUACGGGGUCGUUCGGAUCGUCUUCUUGUCGCCGUCUUUCGUGGGCUCGUUUUUCUUCUUGUCCUCCUCCUUGGCUCGCCCGACGUGGGAAAUCUCAGCGUGCCAUUACUUCCUCACCUUGUUAGCGACGCUCACUGGGUCGACGUCCCCGACAACGGUGAGCUUCUUCUCCUUCGUGUCCAUCUGUCCAUGGAGAUGGAAUCAAUCCCUGUUGAUGUCGUAGGCAAAGUGUAGAUCAGGUUUGUGUCUACAUGGGUUUAAUUGCUGAAGUUAUUAGGGUAAAAUGUACAGGUAGCCCCUGUAGUUUUGCCAUAUUGAGAUUUAACCCCUGAAAACUUCAGUUUUUCCAGCACAGAUUUUUUUUGCAUUUUGCAAUCAUAUCCUUGAUCCCAUAUUGCCUAACUUUCAUCUUGUGACAUCCCGGUCAGGUGAUGGGUAAUUACUUGUUUAAAAAAAUUUUGUUUUAAAAUUUUUAUUUUUUUGUCGUUAAACAAUUUGUUGCAAGCAAUCUAUUAUUUCUUCCUAUACUAUUUCCUAUAGAAACUCUACUUAAGAAAAGUAAAAAAAUAACAAUAAUAUCUAACGUGGUCGAAACUAUUUAAGCAAAAAUUUUAGGACUCGGUAGUAAGCAGAGGUGACUUUUACUCUUAUGUUUUCUAAUGACUUACUGUCAUACAUAUAGGGAGAGAGACAGAGAGUGUGUGUGUGUCUAGCUUAUAUGCUUUCAGAAGUACGGUGAUUUUCAUAUUAUCAAAUUAUUUUCGAAGCUGGGACUUCUGAAUUGACGAUUGUCUCCGUUAAACUUUGAUUUAAAAUAUUAGAAGUAUCUAGAAAAUAAAUUUCGUAAUUUGAAAAUAUCAAGAGCAUUGAAAGUAUCUGAAGGUAGAAAUGAUUGGAAAAAUAGAUGUAAUGGUGGAAAAGUUGGUAAACCAAGCGUUUGGUGCUGCUAGAAGCACCACAAUCGAACUCUAUAGAAUUUGGCUUAGAUUACUUUUAAUAGUAUUUGAGUUUUCUUAUUAUCAAGUUUAUUAUUCUUGGACGAAAAAUUGUAGGGUUGGGAUAAGAGUAGUCCCCUAAUAUCAAAGAGGUAGUCGUCGUUGCUCCUCUGUUCAGCCUCUUUAUCCUGAAGCAGCUCGCCUACAGAUUCACAUAUGAAGCUUCCGGACGGAAUAGAACUCAAGGAUCUGACCCCCCACCCUCUCGACAGGGUCUUGAAUAUUUCUAGCUGUAUUUUGAUACCGUGCUGGCUCACCCUGUUGUGGCACGGCGGCAGACACUUGCAGUUUGGCCUGCACUCAGUAUAUAAGUGGCUUCGCCUGAACAAUAGCGCCGUUGAAAUUAAAUGGAAUUUCCCCUCCAUUUUUCAUCGCACAAGCGCACUUGGCAGAAUCCGAACAGCCGCCAGAACAGUCGCAACCCAUGGGACGAGUGUUGGCAUACCAUGGUGGAUAUAUGAUCUUGGUGAUAUAUUGAAACGGCGGCGGCCGCUCAUCAUCGAUUGUGUUGACCGCACAGGUUGGUAUCUUCUCCUUGCCUUGAGAUAUAUCACGCACACAUAAACCUUUGCGGACUUUCAACCUUUUUGUCUUGUUAACUACAUUUAGGGCAAGUUCGGGUAGCCCUGGCAUUCGUCUCAACUGGAACUUAAAAACAGAAACACCAUGGGGCACUUUCUCACUCCAAUACUUCUCAACAAGGUACAAUCCUGCGUAAGUGAACGUCGAGACCAUCUUAAUCCGCCCAUCGGAGCUAUCGCCCCCUUUAUGCUCCUUAAAGCCAUGUAUAACCCUCACAGGUGUCUGCAUGUCAAUGCUGUUUUUGAGUGCUAGGUUCCCACGCUCGAGCUUCUGGUCUUCCGCUUCUUUCUUACCUGCGGGUUUUCCUCCCGCGCCAGAAUAUAUUAGCACAUCCGAACUGUCGAUGUCAUCAGGGUAGCCGCCAGAAGCAACGAUGCUUGUCGCAAGACGUAGACCGUUUUUGACUACAGAAUCUAUACCUCCUUGAUAAGGGCAGUGAAGUCCAACAAUAGAGAGCUCCACCCGAUAGUAGAAUUCGUCCCCGACUUCAACCCCAGGAACGUUUCCUAAUACUGCUUCACCAGAGUUAACAUACUCGUUGCACCUUUUGAGGACCGCGGCUGCCUCUAGAUCGAUCCUGCCAAUCUUGCCCGAUUCCUUUGUUGACUUGGCUUCUUCGCCUUUCAACAACUUUUCUACAAACCAAUUGAAACAAUCAGAGGAUUCUCCUGACCUUGGUACGAUCAUCAAUGAGCUUUUUGUCACUUCCCUUGCGAUUCCAUUCAAUAGGAACGCACGAGGUGAUGUUAACACUUGGUUCCCGUUUUCCUUGGUAUACGGUUAAUUCAUGUUUUCCUUGGUACAUGGUUAGUGCUUUUGCAUUCUCAUAAUCAUGUGGCAUCGCAUCCUCUUCAUCAUCUUCUUUCAAUUCAUCUAUCGGUCGAAAAACAGAUUCACCCCUUGGGGCAAGCUUCUUGUUCAAUACCCUCCCCCUCCCCUCCUUUUUUAUCUUAAUUUUUGAUGAACUGGAAGGUGAAUUUCCGAAAGAAGUCCUUCCACGGACAGUUUUUGGCAGACAUAAGAGCUUUGCACGAUUACCGUCUCACUGUAAGCAUCCAAAGAAGCAUCUCCUUCGCUCUGAUCAUCCGCGUCCUGUCUGAGCUUUCGUGGAACAGCAUCUACAGACUUGACGAAAUCGAUCCUAUCCUUCUUAACAAUUUUUUCAAUUGACAACGCUUCAAUUGAUUUCUCUGCCGUUUUUUGACUAAUCACUAGAGAUCUUUCACCACCAUUCGGACUCUUGUUUCUAACCUUUUCAAGAGAAGCAACUUUUGCUCCAAAUUUCCUCUCACCAUCCAUACUCUCACCCUUCAGUUUCUCAAUAGAAACAGCUUUAACCAACACAUGCGAACUGGUAUUUAUAUCUGCCUCUAGCAUCUUACUAUUAUCCAAGUUAGUUUUGUCUUUCAUAGCUUCCGACGAAAAAUAUCGAAGAUCAAGUUCUUUGCCAGCUGAUUUCCGACCGGUUUCGGAUUUGUCGCCACCAUCAAGAGAACUCUUACUUUCUGGCUUUUCAACCAAAACAAUUUGCCCGGAAACUUCUGAGGCUGCUUGCUUAUUUCCUUCCGAUUUUUCUCACCAUUCAAGUUCUUAUUCGGAUCAGCAGCUUUCGGGCACUUCUCUUUGCUCGUACGAGUGUUGUUCCUCCCAAACGGCCACACCCGACUAGAAAGCGCCGAAUUGCCAAUACCGCUCUUCUUUUAGGAGGAUAAAUCUUCGACAUCAGCCACCGCUUCUCGCCACCGAAGCCAUUUAGUUGGCACUCCAAAUUUUCAAAAUUUCUAGCUUGAUCAGAAGAGCUAUCUAUUCUGUUUUCCACCAAACCCUUCGCAGCCUGCUCGGAACUACCAUCAACUCUUUUCCUCCGGUGGCUUGAUUUCAACUCCAAGUAGAGUUUCUAAACCCUUAAUUUUCUCCUCCAAAGAACCAUUUGAUUCGUGCCUUUGCUUUAAGGGUGCGUUUGGUUCGCACUAUGAAAGAUUACUAAAAAUAAAAAGAUAUUCGAAAAUUUUAUUUCUAUUCAUUCUAUUACUAAAAAUGUAGUAUUUCGGUGUUUGGUUCAUACGGUCAUAUUAUUUAGUCAUGUUAUUUAAGAUUAUAAAAAAUAUACAAUUUAUUUAUUUAUUUUUUUUUAAAUAAUACUAUAAAAAAUUUUAAUAUUUUUUUGAAAAAAAAAGAGAAUGAGAGGGUUAAGAUUUUAGAAAAAAGAGGAAAAGAAAUAAUUAGUUUAGAGAAAGAUAUGAAGUUAGAGUGUAAAAAAAAAUAAUACCUAAAAAAAAAUAAUACCAAUUAGCCGGUGGAUGGAAAAAAAAAAAGAGAAUAUCCGAAAGAAAGAAAGAGUGGAUGGGAAGAAAGAAAGAAAAUAUUCGGAAGAAAGAAAGAAAAUAGAUAUAUUGUAAUUAUCCCAAUCCAUUGAUAUAAGGAUACCUACCAUCCCUCAAAGGAAUGAGAUUAGUAUUUUGAAAUGCAUUUCAUUCCUAAGUAAAUCUAAUAUUACCAACUGAAUUUUCAAACACCGUCAUACAUUUUUAUUCCUAUUGAAAUCUUACCCCCGCCAUUUAUUCCGAAGUUCCUGCUGCCGCUUCUCUCGAUGAAACCCUAACCUUAACAAACUCCACGACCGGCGGGAGAACAGGGCCAACGGAAGCACGAAUCGCCCCGUCGGGAUCCAAACGUGGAUCCGGAGUCACCGCAAUCGGCUUCAGAUCGGCCGUCGCAGGGAAUCGGCCGCAGCCCUUGGGCCAAGGGCGCGCGACGGAGAGCUUCCGCGGCUUGAGCUUGAGCGCGGGAGCCGCCAUGAUCGGAGCAGGGGCCUCGAUCAUAGGGAGCGACCUUGGAACACAAUCACGCUCCGCGGAGGAGCUCAAAUCGAAUCGGAAGGAGGGCCAAAUGAAACCCUAGCUACGACAUGCGAGGGAGCGGUAGAGGGGGGGAGAGAGAGGUGUGAUACAUACAUUGAACUAGGGUUCGAGGGGGAGCUCGAGAGAGAUCGAGAGACCACCUCACCUCGAUAAUGGUGGAGGAGGAGGAGGAGGAGAACGGCGGUGCCGCGCCGGAGAAGGAGGAGGCGGAGGGGGGAGAGAGAGAGAGAGAGAGAGAGAGAGAGUGGCGUUGAAUGCCAAAAAUGGAAAGUGGAAAAACGAAAAGUGAAAAAAUGAGAAAAAAACAUUACCCUUCUAUCGUGGGGCUGUUGCGGAUGGUGCUCGUAUAAGGAGGGAGCCGAAUUAUUGCGGACGGCGCAGCCCGUCCGGAUCAAACCCCCGAUGCGCGGCGGUUUAGUGAUCUCGACCGUCCAUAUUGGACGGCUGCGAUCGCACCCUAACGCGACUUUGUAAUCGGCAAUCCAGAGUAUUUCGGCGCCGACUUCAUAUUAGUAUAUGGAAACACCAUUCUUCUUUUCUCGUGUAUCACUAUACACUUCCAUACAAAUAUUUUGCUAAGAGGUGUUAAUUACUCUUUCCUAAAAGCUUAUCUUAGGCUACAGGGCCCGUUGGGGAACAAACGAAUGGACAAUGCAUAGCUCUGUAUGGGCCGAUCGAGCGAUCUCCGCCCUACAGAACGUACAAGAUCAUUAAAUUCUCUCACUGGAAGCUGAUCAUGAAUCUGAAUUCUCACAAUUCUUCAUCACAACUUCGAACGAAACCAUUAGUUGUUAAGUGUUUCAUUGUAGUACGUGCUUAAAACACGCAUUAUUUUGCUACAUUUCACAAUCCAUCUCCAAUCAUCUCAUAAACCAAAAGAAACCCGCAAAUCUCCUCAUAUCCUCACCACCCUGAACAUAAUUUGAGGACAAGGAUUAAAAUAGCGGCUCGUGCAAAUGACGUACUACCACGCCAUGAAUAACAUUCAAUAGAUUCUUUUGAAACCAUCAAAAUCUGGCGUGGAAAUUAUGCUUUGUGCACCAACUCCUUGACCGCGUCUGCAAGGGAUUGCUCGCCCCUGAUGCUCUCGACCCACUUUGCGUUGAUCCGCACCCGCUCGAGGCUCUGCUUCAGUUCUCUCUCGAAGGACGGUUUGACCCGGCUCGCGAAGAACUCUUCGACUUCCACAGCUUUCUCAGAGGACUUAAACUGGUAGCAAAACAAGUAAUACUUUAGUAAGAAGGAUAACUAGUACUAUUAAGUGGAUAAACAAUGCAGAGAUUGUAGGUUUCAUCCGAUACCGGCGAUACAAUCGCACUGACGAAUCUUGAGAUUAAAAAGCUUGCCACCCAUGUCUUUGAGAUAUAUUCCCAGUUCUCCUGCAAUACAUAUAUGUAAAUGAAUUUUUUUUUAUGUCUAACCAUGAGAAAGAUUUCUUCGUAUCUGCUCUAUGUUUCUUUAUCUCUUUUCUUUACAUCUAUAUUUUACUAAUAACUAGGGGUGUACACAGUUUGGUCCCAAACUGAAAACCAAACCGAACCAAACCAAAUAAAACUAUUUGGUUUAUAUGGUUUUCAGUUCGGUUCGGUUUUCAAAUUUAUUAAAAUUUGGUUUUCGGUUUCAGUUCGGUUUGAACACAUUUCUUAAUCAAACAUAACCAAAAACCGAAUAGUAAUAGUUUUACAAGUUUUAUCUGAACUAAUUUAUUAAAUUUUAUAUUUAUGAUCAAAUCUUGAUCAUAUAUCAACACGCUUUUCAAAGUUUUAUGUUUAUAAUUAAACUUUUUGUCUAAUGAUUCAAUUUUGAAUAUCAAAUUAUAAAUUAAUUCAUAAGAAAAUUUUUAAAAAAUUCUGAAAAUUAAUUGCAAAAUCGGACCAAACCAAAUUAAUUCUUUUGGUUUGGAUUGGUUCUGAGUAUAAAUCGGUUCGGUUUGGUUGUAAUUUUUUUCAAAUAAAAAAAUCCGGUUCAGUUUGAGAUUUGCCUAAAAGCCAAACCAAUGUCUGCAAUAGGAGUAUGGGACAUUAUUGCAAUAGGCUAAAUUACAGAAAACUCCCCUGUAAUAACCCGCUUUUUCACUUUCCCCCCCUGACAUUUAAAAACCUACACUUUGCCCCCUUGUAAAAUGAAAAAUGUGCACUUCCCCCCUAUCGUUAGGGUUCCGUUAGGGGUUCUGUUAAAAAAUAUUUUUUUAUACCGAAAAUACCCCGCUGCCUCUUCUCUGAUGCUUCGCUCCCUCCGGCUCACCGCUUCGCCGCCUCGCUGCCUCGCCGUCCUCCACUGCUUUGCCCUCUCCCACAUCCCCUUCGUCCUCCUCCGCCGCCUCGCCUUCGCCCUCGUUGUCCCUGCCUACCUCUCCAUCAACACCCAUCUUAGUAUCCUCCCUACUGUCGCCGAAAUCGAUGGGCGGCGACGGUGUAGGAGGAGAAGGGGAGCAGGUGGAGAAGAAAUUGGAGAGGAAUUGUGGCCGAUUGAGGUGGAAAUAGCGGCGGAUCGAAGGGGCUGCUGAGAAAGCUCAGGAAGAAAACAACAAUGGCGAGGGGCAAAAUGGUCAUUUUACACACCGUAACCCCCCUGUGAACAUUUUUCAUUUUACAAGGGGGCAAAGUGUAGGUUUUUAAAUGUCAGGGGGGGAAAGUGAAAAAGCGGGUUAUUACAGGGAGGUUUUCUGUAAUUUAGCCAUUGCAAUAAGCAUCGAAUAUCAUAAGGCUAGAAAAGUUCAAGAGAAAAGACAACUUUCUAGGGUUGUGGAGUACAUAUUGAUGUAAAAGCUUAAAUAUCAAACCUUAUUCAGCCUCGGCAUUUGACGAUCUGAAGCAUGAAAUUGCUUUUCCAAUUAUAUGAUUAAAACUAAACCAUAACACAGUACAUUAGUAUAAUAUACGGCGUUAGUUGUUUUUCCAAUUACACUUUUGAUUAUUGCCCAAUCAACAAUUGAUAGUCGCAAACCAGAACGUUUCAACGCUAUUGUAACCUCCGAAAGUCCACCUAGGCAACAAUUAGUUACUAAUAUAGUCAAAUUGUAUGGAGUUCAUAACCAAAUGACAUGUACCUUAAGCCAACCCCAUGCAGUUUCACGUCCUUGCCUGCUGAUCCCAAGGCCAUAAAUUGCAUCUUGAUUUCGAACCUAAACAAGCAGGCAAUUAGAAAAGGACAAAAAAAAAAAAAGGCAAAUAGAAAAGGACAAAAAAAAAAGAAGAUUUUGUCGAGAGCAAUUUCAUUGAGAGCACUUAAAAGUUACGAAGAUUAAAUACCAACCUUAGGAGUCAAUAGAAAAUUCAGGGCCUCGAGGACAAUUUCCUUAUCGGGGCAAGAUGCCAAAGAGCCUAUAAACAAACGGUGGGGAAAAAAGAAAAUUCAAGAAUGACAAGUUAGUGAAAGAAAUAACAACGAAACCCAAUGUUGAAGCUUGAACCCUUUUCAAGUACAUUUUUGUAGAUUCAAUUCUAACAAUUUAGUCCGUUAAGUUUGUCCAGCAUAAUGGUUGUCUUUUCUCUAGUCUGCUACAAGAAACGAAACACCACAUCAGCAUCAUCAACAUAGUUAGAGGACAAGACAAUGUUUCAAGGUAGGCCGUGACAGGAAUACGCUGCUGUGGCAGCUUUUCAAUAAGGUAGAGUAAGAGACAAAAGACUUAGAACUAAAGUGUUAUGCAGAACAAACUUCACGGACUAAAAGGUUCACAUUGAAAUUUUAAGGGCAUUAAAUUAAAACAGAAUCAAACUUCAGAUACUAAAUUUUCACCUAACCUGUUAGUUAAAAAAAAAAAAAUUGUAGACUGUCUUCGCACAGUGAGACAUUAAAUUACUUACCUAAAACACGUACUCUUUCCUCACUUUGAUCCGUCUCUGUGUAUAUCCUCAGGAGAGAUUCAAACCCAGAUCUAUUUGAAGUGCUAACAGUUUGCAUUACACCAAGGUAUGCAGCCUAAAUGACAAUUUCAAAGUAGAUUAUUUACGAAGAAAUUAGACUAAAAACCAGUAAAAUAAUAGAUAUCUUGUUUCAACCUUUCUAUUAUCCGGAGGCAAGAGGGGUGUAUUUCGGUCAUUUAAGAAGAUAUUGAAGCGCUUUACUGCUUCAUUUAUAGUCUCUUCAUGCCCAAGUCUUACAAGCGCAACUAAAAGAUCGGCUCUUAGCAUUACAUCCAAGUGGUUUUCGCCAUCCUUAGGAUCCCAACCUAAUUUUCUGAAAAUAAAAAUACUAAGAGAUUGAGCAUAAGGGAAAAGUAAAAGAUUGUUGACAAUAUGCUAAAAUCAGAAUAAAUUGCACCUGUCUCACAACUCAUACUACCUAAAAGGCUAAAACUGAGGAAUAUUAAAUUACCUUUUAUAAAAUCAUCUAACUGACAUAUAAAUGCACAUAACUAUCCAGGAAGACCAAAGAAAAAUGUAGUAUUUAAUAGAGAUAUCUAUGCAUAUCCGUGCAGAACAAUUUAUUUACAUGUAGACCCCGUAAAUUCUGAAUUUCCAGAGGUACAGGUUGAAACUGCAGUUUUUUCUUCCUUUGUUUUUUUCAUGAAAGUAGUCUCUUAAGUUGGGGAGUCGAUCAAUUCUUUCUUUUUUUCUGCAUUGGGGCGGGUGGCGUGCUGGUUUUCUAUUAGAAAAUGUUUUUUAAAGAGAGCUUUUUUCGGAAGUACAGAGGUGUAUUUUGAAGGUUAUAUAUAUAUGGAGAGAGAGAGAGAGAGACUUAUGAGUAUAAAGGUGAUCGCCGUACUCAUAAAAGUAUAAUAGCCGGAGUGUCGAACUCCCUCUCUCUCUAUAGAAUGAAGCUAGAAUACUUCUCAUAGUAAAGAAAUAGUAUUUACUACAUACUUUUUACCCCUUGGAUACUUAAGGUUUAGUGGUGGUAGGAGGAAAAGUAUUGAUCCAAGGGCUAUAAAGUUGAUAGUAAAUACGGUACAUUUUACUAUCAAUAGUAUUCAAUAUAUAUAUAUAUAUAUAUAUAUAUAUAUAGAGAAUAGAAUUUGGCUGGAAUACUAUUAAUAGCACCAAGUUAUUGGUGCUAUUAGGUUUUCAGCCCUUGGAUGAAAAAAUGUGCGGUUAACAUGAUAGUGGUCUCCGAUUAGGUUGAUAGUAGUUCCCUAGGGUUGAGUGGGUGGUUGGUUGAAUAGUAUGAUCUAACGGUUAGAAAUGAUGAAAGGGAUAAAUUUAACAGUAGAAAAUUCGGUAGCACCAAGCGCUUGGUGCUAUCGAUAGUAUCCCAGCCGAACUCUCUCUUUCUCUCUCUCUCUCUCUCUCUCUCUAUAUAUAUAUAUAUAUAUAUAUAUAUAUAUAUAUAUAUAUAUAUAUAGUAGGGCUAGAAUACUUGUAAGGGUGCGUUUGGUUCGAGUUAUCCUGGCAGGAUUACAGGCAAUCCUGCCAGGAUAACUAUGUUUGGUUAAUCCGCUAUGUAAUCUAGUCGUUAAUGUAGGAUUACAAAUCAAGCAGGAUUACAUCGAAAAUAUUAACGGGAGGGGGGUCAUGUAUCUUGCAUUACUGAAACCCGUUAAUACUAAUAUUAUGUAAAAUGACAAUUUUACCCUCCAACAACCCCAAAUCUAAUUAACAGCAUUAUUUUCAUCUCUAUCUCGCCUUCCCCCCGGCCCUCUCUCUCGCAUGCCGCUUUCUCUCGCUCUCUCUCUCUCUGGAUGUCUCUCUCUCUCUCUCUCUCUCUCUCGCACGAACACCUAUCAUCUUCUAUUGCGUCGUCCUCCCAAGUAAUCAUCACGAUCUCCUUCCCUCCAUUCGUCAUUUCCGCAAUAUAUAAUAUAUAUAUAUAUAAUAUAUAUAAUAUAGCCGGCUACUAUGCUUUAAUAGCAGAAGCACUUGGUGCUACAAGUUUUCCCCGUUAGAUCUACCCUUUGGAUAUUUUCACCCGUUAGAUCAUACUAUUCAACCAAACCCACUAAUGGGGCAAUCAUCCUAACCACACUCCUUAAUCCAAGAAAACUUGGUACACCAAGAUUGGUGCUAUUAAUACAUAACUAGUUCUAUAUGGUCCCUAUAUGUAUUAUAGCACGGACACUUGGUGCUACCAAGUUUUCCGUUGUUAGAUCUGCCAUUUUUAUCAUUUUUAUCCGUUAGAUCAUACUAUUUAACCAACUACCCACUCAACCCUAGGGGACCACUGUCUUAAAACCUAAUAGCACCAUGAUGGUGAUACUUGUAAAAGUAUCAUAGCUCAACUCUCUCUCUCUCUCUCUCUCUCUCUCUCUCUCUCUCUCUCUAUAUAUAUAUAUAUAUAUAUAUAUAUAUAUAUAUAUAUAUAUAUAUAUAUUCGAGCUUUUCGAGCUUUUCGAACCUAAUUCGAACGAGCCGAGUAAUACUCAAGCUCGGCUUGAAAUGAAUUUCGAGCCUUUUAUUUUGUUCAAGCUCGGCUCAUUUAAUUUCGAGUCGAGCUCGAGCGAGCCGAAUAUCGAGCCGAACGCGAGUCGAACACGAGCCGGCUCGCUCGUUUGCCAGCCCUAAGGGGGAGUAAGGGGUACAACUCUUUGUAAUUUAAAAUUUUAAAUUCCCACCCCUUCAAAAUGGUGUUUGGGUACAAACGGCCUCUAAAGAGUAAUUUAAUCAACCCUCUAGUUGUUUAGAAUGAUUUUAAGGAAAAUAUUUGCUUUUGAAAAAAGUACGAUCGAGAAUCAACGAGCCAAAUAGAUAUUUGGACGCGGGAAGUCAAAUAGGAACAUUAAUGACGAUGGGAACGCACAGAGGUGGCCCAGAAUCCCAGCAACGGGGACUGGGGGGGGGGGAUCACGGAGCCUUUUUUUUUCAAACCAUAAUGACGCAUGCUUUUACCCUUUUAUUAUACAUUUAAAUAAAUAUAUAUUGCGGUGGCUUUUCCUUCCUAUUUUGGUCUCCUGACUCUUUUCUUUGAACGCAAAGCCGUAUCCUUUUGGCCUCCAAAGAGUGCGCAUUCAAAUUUUCUACAACAUCAGGACAAUUUCUAAUUAAAGACCACCCUCUUUUUCUGCUUAAUUAAUUAAUAAUUAGUCUUUGUAUAAUUAGCUUCUCACCGCUUUCCAAAGCCAAGCCAAUCUCUCUCUCUCUCUCUCUCUCUCUCUCUCUCUCUCUCUCUAAAUUAUUGAUCUGAACUCCGUCCACCGCGUCACACAUUGACCGUCGAACCAUCUACCCUCCAUCUCAUCGUUCCUUCAAAUCAUCGGCACUCGAUUAAUUUCAUUAUUUCUUUUUUUUUUUUUUAGAAAAAGAUAGCGUGCUAUCCGCUUCAUUCAUUGAAAAAAUGAAUUAGGUCAUGGGAGUGAGACAACUAGAGCCUCUAAGAGGUGGGACAAAAUAAAUAAAUAAAUAAAUAAAUACUUGAAUUUAUAAUAGAACAUACAACUAUUUCAUUUUUUCUAACUUACAACUUAUCAGGAAUUCAGUCAAUAUUAUUUUAGAAGAAGGAAUAAAAAUUAUUUAUGUAGUGUGAUCAAAUAAUCCCAAAAUUAAUAAAUUUUCUAUGGCGUAUAUGAGCCAUUAGCUCGUUUAACGGUAUAGAGCAAUCAAAAACUACUUGAAUUUAUAAUACAAAACUUUUAUACGAACUAGAAUAACGUAUGAUCAAUUGAGAAAGCCUAAUCUCUAUUUUUUAUCAGGUUAUUCGUUUUCGACCUUUCAUUCUUUGACUUUUUUUGAUAGACUUGAUAAUCAUUUUUAAAUAUUAUUAAAUUUGAUUUCUAAAUAUUUUAAAUAGAUAGAUCAACAUCAACAGCUCCGUUUAUCAAACUAGAGUUCUGAUUAUCGAAAAUAACUUUGAUGUGCAUCCGAUCAAGUUACAAUCAAAGCUCCAAAGUUUUAUAAGGUUAUUUGUUUUCGACCUUAUUCAUUUUUCAAUUUUUUGAUAGACUUGAUAAUCAUUUUUAAAUACUAUAAAAUUUGAUUUCUAAAUAUUUCAAAUAGAUAGAUCAACUUCGAUGGCUCCGUUUAUCAAACUAUGUUGUGAUCAUCGAAAAUAACUUUGAUGUGCACUCGAUCGAGUUACGAUCGAAGCUUACAAAGGAUGAAAAGGAUUAAAAAAAAAAAAAAAAUUUCUUGUGCAGACACAUUUAACCAUAUGAAACUUCUAUUUUUUAUGAAAGCGGAAGAAUCUAAAUAAACGUCAAUGACCCAUCUUAUUUUUUUUCUCCCAAUAUGCUAAGAAUUGGAAAGAUAAAGAUAUAUUUUUUAACAGGUCUAGGCAAAUUUUUCUUGUCACAAGUUAUAUCCAUGCCUCCUGUUGGCGCAAGAAAAAUAGUACCAGCUAGUGCACAAGUAAAAUAGCGUUAGCUGCUGCGCGGCUUAAUACGUUUGUUUAGGUGGCGUAGACGAAUUAAAAUAUAAUACACGGUGCACUAAGAGCCGAAAACUAGGAGGCCCUGGGCAGGAACAGAUGAAAACGUGGACAAGAAACAUGGGAGUAAUUCCCGCGACCAAUAAAGAAGCGACUGUAGUGUUCCCCCACGAUGCGAGUUGCACGGUAACUGCAGGUUAAUAAUAGUACUAUAAAUAACAUAAAGACGCCUGAAAUAAGGGCCUUUCUCCUCUGUGAACAAGAAGACCACUCUAUUUUCAUCAUUUCUUUUAUUUUCUAGGAGUAGAAAACUUUUGUAGUCUUUUCUUUCCUACAUUUUAAGUUUUUUAAAGAGUAGUUAGCGAUAGGAGUGGCAUAAUCUUGUAAGUUUUCAGUUUCUAUCACAACCAACUCGGCUCUUUCAGUCGAGUCUGCUCUAGAUCUCAGCUCGACUUAUCAUUUUAAGGAAGAAUCUGAUUAAGCCGACCACUCAACCGGAUUGCUUGAUCGUGGGGCACUCGAGAUUUAGUUCGAGAACCAAUCUGGAAUUAAGACUCAUGUAACUCGGUCAAUGACUUGACUUGGUCAACACCUCCACAAGUUCUGUUCGCAAUCCAACCCCCCUAAUGCUAGAGCUAUUCUAUAUAUGUGCAUAUAAGCACUUCUUACAUUCAAUUUAUUCAAAUACUAUUAAUUUUUACUAAUUUUAUCAGCUUUUUAACUUUAAAAAUAUUUAAAAAUUUUCGAUCCUUACACAAAUAGGUAUACAACGUACAUCUUACUAAUAAGGUGUAGAUGUACUAUAUAAACUGUACAGCUCCGAAUUUCAACUUUAAAAAUAUAAAUCAUGUUUACCUCAUCGUAAUUUAUACUUUUUAACUAAUUAAGUAGUUUUCACAUAUGUUAGUUUGUAAAGUUUUAUAAAUUUUAUUUAUAAGUAUAAUGUCAUUAUAUUAUUAUUAUUAUUAUUAUUAUUAUUUUAAAAUAGGCGCACAAUUAUUUCGGGGGAAAUCAUCUGACUUUCCGCGUUGGUCAUGUGGGACCCGCACGGUAAGCAACGUUUUCAAGCCCUAGUAUAUAAAUAAAUGGGUAUGAUUGCACGAAUUAAUUCGAACAAACAUAUUUGCUUUUUAUAAACGAAUUAAAUUAAUAAUAACGGCUAAGCACACCCGACAUGCUUUGACCUUACAAUUUGAAAAUUACUUUUUCGGGGUGUGAUAAUAUCAUCUCGUAAUAAUUGACCAAUAAAGAAUUGGUUUUUUUAUUCACAAAUAAAAAUUAAAAAUGUAUAUUUUGAAAUACACCCAUCAAACCUUUACGUUUCUGUGAUUGAGACUCUCUCAAUUUAUAAUAAUAUUUUUGCUUAUGUAAUUGUAGCUAAAAGUAAACGGAUAUUUUAUUGAAUUUAUUGAUAAUCUUACUAAAAUUUUAAUAUAUAUAAAUAUAAAAUAUACUCAAAUUAAAAAACAAAGAAAUUGAAAAGCUUUUACCAAAACAAAUAACAGUUUAGAGUCUAUAUUAAAUUAGUACAUAGUUAAGGAGUCCGGCCGUUCUGCUAUCGAUAGUGCACCUACGUUUAGUGCUACCAAAUUUUUCACCGUUAGAUCUAAUCCUUUAAUCAAUUUUCAUCCGUUAAAUCAUACUAUUCAAAUCAACCAUCCACUCAACACUAUAGUUAGUUAAUUAGGAUUCGGCAAAAAUUCAGUAUGAGUAUAAUUCGAAUAAAAUUCGUAUCUCAAUUUUUAAUUUGUUAAAAAAUACGGUUUAAAAAACGGAUUCACCAAUUAUUCGAAUAAGCGAUUUAUACGGAUAUUAUAUGUUCACCAAUUAACAAUUCGGGAUAAAAAAUUUGACUAUUAAACUAAGAUUUUUUUCUCUAGAUUUAUGCUAUUAGCAUACAUAGUUAUAAAUUCUUAAAAAUAUAUAAAAAAAAGAGAGCUACAAAAUAAAGUAAAUUAAGUAAAAAAAGGAAGGCCUUUUUGCAAAAAAAAUCCACUUAUUUUGGGCUUUUGCAAAACCGGGUCACCUUUUUCGUUUUUGCAAAUUCGGUCCGCUUUUUCAGCAAACUGACCAAAAUACCCUUAUUACUUUUUCUCUUUCCUCUUUCUCUCUCCUCUUGGUUCUCUCAUUCUUUUUUUUUUCGCCGAAAAAAAAAGCGAAGGCCAGGCGGGCGCGCCGCCGAAGCACCGCCAGGCGGGCUCUUCUUCUUCUUCUUCUUCCUGCAGGAGCAAUUUUUUUUUCUCUUUUUCUUUUUCUUCUUCUUCUUCCUCCUGCUGGAGCNGGAUGAUUGGAUCCUACAAUUUAAGAUCGAAGUUAUUAAUCUUUAUCUAGGUAGUGAAUAGAAUUUUCUAUCAAAAAUUCAACCAAUUCCAAUUCUUUUACACCGUUAAACUAGCAAGUAUCCCAUACCGGCCGUUAAAAAUUGUCAAUUUUGUGAGCUUUUGAUCGUAAGGUAAAUGAUGUCGAAAAAUUAUGAAAUUUGAUUUCUAGAUGUUUUAAAUGCUCUAGAUAAUAUUUAAUGGUAUGGAUCGUCGAUUCGGAAACUCUAUCAUUGAAAACGACUUAUGAGUACAAAGAUGAUCGUACUUAUAAGAAUAUAGUAGUCGGACUAUAUAUAUAUAUAUAUAGAGAGAGAGAGAGAGAGAGAGAGAGUCCGGCUACUAUACUCUUAUGAGUAAAGAGCCUCUUGUACUCAUAAGUUUUUCGCUGUUUGACCCACCCUUUAAUCAUUUUUACUCGUUAGAUUAUACUAUUCAACCAACCACCCACUCAACCCUAGGGGCCCACUAUCAACCUAACCGUAAUCACUCUCAUCCUAACCGUACAUUUUUUCAUAUCAACGGCCAAAAAGUUAUUAGUACAAAGAGCUCUAUACUCAUAUAAGUAUAGUAGCCCCAGCAUAUAUAUAUAUAUAUAUAUAUAUAUAUAUAUAUAUAUAUAUAUAUGUAUGUAAUUUUCGAUAUUGUUCUCUUGCACAUCAAGUAGACACAAAAAUGAAGAGCUAAAAAUAAAUAUCCUUCAAAAAGUGAUGAUAGGAUUUUUGUAAUCAAGAUCAAGAGUAUAGAUCUUGUUUUAAAUAGUUUAAAGAAUUUUCUAAUCAAAAUUUAAUUGAUUUAGAUUUGUUUACACAGUUAAACGAGCAAACCCCCCACAUCAACCUUUAAAAUUACAAAGUUUGCAACAUUUUGAUCAUUAGGUCAAUAAUGUCGAAAAGAUUUGAAAUUUGAUUUCUAAAUACUUCAAGUAGUAUAGAUCAUGUUUAACGGUGUCGAUCGUCGAUUUGGAGGCUCCAUCAUUGAAAACAAAUCAGUAGCAACAGAGCUUGUUUGCUACCGACAGUAUUCUAGCUCAACUCUAUAUAUAUACCUUGUGAUCAAAUCAUGUCAAAAUGAACGGUACAAAUUGAACAAUCUUUAGAAAUUGAGGAUAGGACUUUUAAAUUCAAGAUUAAAGAUGUUGAGCUUGAUCUAGAUAGUUUAAAAUAUUUUCUAUUAAAAAUUCAAUAUAUUUAGAUUCUUCUAUGCCGUUAAGCUACAAAACUCGUCGUACUAGCCGUUGAAAUUGGCAAUUUUGAGAUGGUUUGAUCAUAAGGUAAACAAUGUCAACAAAAUAUAAAAUUUUAUUUAUAAAAACUUCAAAUACCAUAGUUCAAUUUUAAUGGUGUGAAGCAUCAAUUGUAACACCAUAAAGUCAAAAGUGAGACUAUAGUACCAGAGCCCUCUAUAAUAUAGGGGCAUGGCGCUCUCUCUCUCUCUCUCUCUCUCGCUUCCUCCAAUUUAUAUUUUAGUGACUGAAAAAGUUUAAAGAGAUGCCAUGCAGAAACUAACAUAGGCUAUCAAUAUGCAUUAAUUAUCAACCAUCGAUCAUACAUACUUUGCAGCAGACAGAAGAAGAUUGAUGAGAAAAAGUUUGAUGUCAUUGGCCAACUCUGGAGUGGCAUCCAUUACCACAUCUGCGAUCUUACGACUUAUCUGCAAGCCAAAGAAAAAUGUAAUUAUACUUGAAAGAAUAGAUUAAAAAUGUAACGUGAGAGGGGGAGGUAUACAUACCACUAUUACGUGAGAGAGCACAGUGUAAUCGAACUCUUCACCAUAAGCACUCAACAAGAAUAGCAAAGAUGGCAAUGUUUGUUUGCAGGCCACGGAAAGGGCAUAUGAAUCUUCUACUACGCCUGCAUUUGAAAUAUUAGAAUGGUCAUAAUUGACAUCGAAGCUUACUUGAACAAGAUUGGAAGGGGCUUUUUACAAAUAUAUAUCCCUGCAAAAUAGUCAAUGUACAUGUACACCCCUGCAAAAAGUGAGUUAUUAUACAUAGCCCAUGAAAGUGCAGCUUCGUACCAAAAUAUCCAUUUCAUGUCAGAAGUCAUCUGAUCCAUGGGGCAAGGAGGUAUUCUAAGAAUAAGUUUUUUAGGAAAGGGCCACUUUAUGUGACUUCAAGGGUAUAGGAAGUUCUUAAGAUUUGAAGGGUACAUAUACUACCAAAAUUGAGAUUUUACAACAAUAUACAUAUAUGUAAACACCGUAUUCUACUAGGAUAAGUUUUUUAGUAAAGGGCCACUUUAUGUGACUUCAAGGUAUAGGAAGUAAGUUCUUAAGAUUUGAAGGGUAUAUAUACUACCAAAAUUGAGAUUUUACAACAAUAUAGAUAUAUCUAAACAUCAUAUAUGUAAACAUCUCAACUUGGAAAUAUAGGUCAAUUAGUCAGUACUUAAUCCUAUUACCUAUUUUGUCCAUUAAAGAGAGCUUAUUGGCCUGUACUGCAUAUCUAAUUCCAGCAGCAAGCUCAUCAUCAUAUUUCACUCUGUAAAAGCCCGUUUGGUCUACAUUCAACUUAAUCCAGAAGCGUUCACCAUUCUCGUUGUUCGGAUCAUGAGAACUGACAAGCUCCUUUACGUCCAACUUAUGAUAUUUUGAUUUCAGCAGAAACUUUUCCUGGGGAUUAUAGGAACCGCAGCAUAAUGUUACAGGAAUAAUCCACAUGCCAGUACCAGAAGAUCCAUCAGAUAAAAACUGUGCCUGCAAAGAAGUAGCAUUGCCAAAUGUUAUCAAAAGGAAGGGAACAGAAAUAUUGAAAAAUUAUAGGAGGACUACAAAAGCACCGUUACUUCUUUUUUAAAAAAAGAUCAAGCUCUUGUAUGAUCAAUAAGGUAUGAUCAAAUGGAACAUGCGAGGUGAUUGCCAUGAAAGACCCUUAUUUAAAGAAGAGAUAAUAUAUAGGACUGAGCAACGGAAAUCUAAUUGGCUCUUUGUUGGGGAAAAAAAAAUGAAGAAUAAGUUAGGGCGAUUGUUGAGUGUUAGGAGUAGGUAAAUGCUUUUCUUAGUUGCAAUAAAAAAGAAACAUGUAAAGCCAAAAUUCUAAAAGACAAACCUGCUCAAGCUCCAACUCAUGCUUUUUAAGAUUUGCAUAAAUAACAGGAUAUCCUUGUUGCUUUGUCCAUGAAUUCAUCAAAUCCUUGACAGGUUCACCGGACUCCUCUUCAAGAACAGCCCAAAGAUCUUCAGUCUUAGCAUUUGAGUAGGCGUUUUUUUUUAUGUACAAGGCGAGAGCUUGCUGAAAUUUAAAAUUAACAAACAUAUCAUCAAUCAAACAUAUAGAUAUCAACAACUCAUGAUGACUAGCUCAAGGAGAAAAAUUAGACUGAAGCAAGAGUAAAAAGAAAAGGCUAAAAUACAGAAAAUCAGUUGGAUAUAUUGUGAUUUGCACUUUAAUCAAAACCUAUAGAUAACCCCUCAAUUUAUUUGAAAAUCGUACAUUUUACCACAUACGGGAGGAAGUAAAAUGCUAACAUAUCACAAGUGUCGAGAUUAUCAGCAGGGUUUAAUUAUCAAAAGUGAUAAGUGUAAAUCACCCUAUAUCUAAGGCUGUAAUCUGCAUUUUAGUCAAAAAAAAAGAAGAAAAAGAAAUACAAGCUAGUGAGCUGUAAAAAGAAAAUCUAUAAUUAAAGGUACCAGAAUUUUGUGCUCUGAAUAAGAUAUAUAACAAAUGAACACUCGCUAUUACAUGAAGCGUGAAUAAGUGCAGAUAUAGAGGAAUUUCACAUCAGUAAUCCCAGAAAACAAACUCAGAGACCAUUAAGCCAUUAAGGAAGAAUUUAAAGCAGAACUGGGGAAAAGCUGACAACCAACCUGGAAAGAUUCCGCACCAAGGUAACUCUGCAGCAUUCUAAUAACAGAGGCACCCUUGUCAUAGCUUAUCGAGUCAAAAAUUGCAUCAAUCUCAUUGGCAUGGUUUAUUUCGACCUGAACAAAUGUGGAAACAGUUUGAGGCAUUGUAAACCAUAGCUCUUACCUACAAAAAGGUAUGCGGGACAAUCACAUAUCCAUAUAUAAGUAUGCUCAUGCAUGCUUAUGAACAUAGUAACGUAUGGAUGUGCGAAUGCCCUACAUCCCUUUUCUAGGUAAGAACAUACUUAUCACUUAUGUAUGCAUACUAACAUAUUUAUGCAUGCAUGCAUGCAUGAUAUGCGAAUAUCCCACAUCCCUUUUGUAGGUAAGAAGGGGACAACACUUUCCUAAGUAUGUGUGUGUUACCUCAAUAGGAUGUGAUUCAGAAAGUGCAUCAAGCAUAAGGCCAGCGGCAGUGUCUUCAAGAAAUUGAGUCCAAAUCUUCCAUUCAGGGAACAAGGAAUCUACUGCUAAAUAGCUCACCUAUUAAAAGAGAAAAACAGAAAUGCAACAUAAGUUGCCAUUAUAAGUUACAAUCACUCAAAAUGGCAAGAGUAAUAUUAGGUCCCUUACCCAUGAUGCAAACCCCUCAUUUAGCCAUAAGUGUGUCCACCAUUCCAUUGUCACCAGAUUUCCAAACCAUUGGUGUGCCAACUCAUGUGCUACAGUAAUCGCCACCUAAGAAGAAUUAAACAGGUAGAACAAAAGAGAAAAAGUAUGUUAGAUCCAAGAAAAUUUGGCUCUCAUGGUAAAACACCAUCAAGUCCGAAAACCAAAUAAACUCAAGCACAGAUAUAAUCCAAACUUUGAAUAAUCUUCAAGCAUUAAGAACUGAAGUGAGAGCCAUCAAGAAUUAGGAUUGAUCACCGAUUGUUUGUUUGAUGCUGAUGAUAAGCGAUCAUCAUAGAGCAAGGCUGUUUCUUGAUAAGUGACUAAUCCAUAGUUCUCCAUAGCACCACCAACAAAAUCAGGAAUAGCAACCAUAUCCAACUUGGGAAGAGGAUAAGGCACCGCAAAAUAACUAAGAAAUGAAAAUGAACAACUGUUAGUGAUCCUAUAAAAAUUUUCAACUUAUGUAAAUGAAAAUGAACAACUGUUAGUGAAGCUACAGAAAUUUUCAGAUGUAAGUAACAAAAGAACCCAUGCCAAUCGAUGGAUAAAAUUUGACAAUGAAUCGAAAUUAAUUACUUCUCAUAGAGUUGAAGCGACUUCACAGCAACAUCUAAAGCAAACUUCCCUUGACUGCUCUUACCAACUUGACAAUAUACGCGAACUUUUGUACCUAAAGAAAUAUGCACAAGCCCAUCAAUUUAUCUUCUAUAUAAUUUGGAAGGAAAGAAUGGGACUGGUUAAAGAAUAGGUUAUAUACUUCUAUAUCGUACCAUCUGGUAAUUUGUCUUCUAUAUAGUCAAACAAACCAACAACAAUAGCCACCAAGUAAGUUGACAUAAUUGGUGAUUCCUCAAAAGAGAGUGUCUUGACAACUCCAUUAACUUUCUCUUCAGCAACAGGCAUAUUGGAUAAUGCUACGAGCUCAGAGGGUACUUCCAGUGUAAUCUCGAAGGUAGCCUGAAGACAUCAGGAUAGGAAAAGAAUAUGACACUGGUGUAGAAAUUUUCAAGAACAACAGUUAGCCUAAAAUCAAAGAUGAAGGCAAAACAGCGGGGCAAAUUGACUGAAUCUAUUCAGAAAAGCACUAAUAGCUUUUCCGUAGAUACAUCAUAGAUCCGUUGACAAAUUUGUGCUGCUACAAAUAUAGAAGCUUCAAAUGGGGGACUGUUUUUGGGGUAUAAAGCUUAUUUAAAUUUCACCAUAGCAAAAGCUCCAAGCUUUCCAUUUUGUGAAGUGCUAAGCUUCCACUUUUCAGAGUAGAAAAGCUGUUUAGAAGCUGGGUAUUCACUAAGCAAUUUAAAUUAAAAGUUUCGAGUUUUUGUCUUUUCUGCUUUUAGAUGAACACACUAUUUGAGUUUUUGCUUUUCGAUGAACACAACAUUUUAUUUGUUUACAGAGUUCAAGCAGUAGCAUCACCAUUCAAAUUAAGCAAAAUUUUAAGGGCUUCAGGAAAAAAAAAAUACAAAUGCUUCUGAUGGAUCCUUUAUCUAAUUAGUUUAAUGACUUAAUACUGGUGUUUGGAUCUUCUAGUAAUUUAUACGUAUUGCUUCAUGCGUUGUAAAGCACUCAACUAAGUAAACAAUCCUUCAUAUUAUAAUUUACUAAUCUUUAUUAUGGUUGUGCCAAUAGAUCAUAGAUCAAAACGAAAUAAUACAAAAAAGUUUUCAACAUGAAAUUCUUUUAAAGGAAGAGGCAUGCAAGAGAGUAAAAUGAAUGGAAUUGGGACGACUAUUCAGCCUAUUAAAAUUCCAAAUUUGGUAUCUGACCCACAGUUUGUUUCAUUUGAGCAACUUGAUGGUUCUUCCUUGGCAAAAUUUAGCCACAUUGUUUGGUUUAUCUCAAACAAUUUAUGUGACUACUGACUAAGUUCCUGUUAAAGCAGACAUCUCACCCUAAUUCUGUAUAGAAGAGACAUCAAAAGAUGUCUAGUUAAGUAGUCAUCCUAAAACAAGCCAUAAGUCGGAUUCGUUCCAUCUGUGUCUACCAAGAUACAAAUGUAAGCACCUUAAAUGCAGGUUCGUCCCAGCAUGGGAAACACCGUCUAGCAUCGACAGCCUCAAACUGCGUCACGGCCAUGUUUCUUAUCUCCCCGUUAUACUCGUACUUACUGCACAGGAAAUAACAUCAACUAGUCAAAAAAGUAUUUACACAUUAGAAAAAAAAAUAAUCAAAACACUAAUUUCUAGAAGAUUAAGCUUUUACAGAAUAUUGGUGGUUUCGCAUGGUAUGAUAACAGAAGGUCCUGAGAUCGAGUCUUCGUAGGCUGCUAUAUUUUAAAUUUUCACCUGUUAAAUUCAAGUCCAUGCUUGAGUUUUAAAUAGAAAUGAGAGAAUAACAGUAGUUUCAUAUAAUGUCAAAGCAGAUUGUCGUUUAACUUCCUCUCAUUUAGUUUAAGCCCAACUUAUCAAAAGUCUCGUUUUCAUAGUAAAACAUCAUUCUCUAAAAAAUGAAACCAAAUUAUUCACAUUAUUGAUCAAACUCCUACAUACGAACAGCUCGUCACAAAUAAAAGAAAAUAGAGAUCAAAGUCAAAACGAAUUUACCUUCGGUAGAACCCCCUCAUCUGGUCAUUUAGGGUCCCUAUGAACUCAAUUCUCAGUUCCCCAUCCCCGAUAGGAAGCGUCGUGUCGAACCCCACAACCAAGAUCUCAUCCUCCUCCACUGCGACGACCUCCGAGGGCUGGAGCUCCUGCAAUCACAAACACACCCCAUCGAUCACGUCUAUCGAAGACCACUGUUACCCAAAAGAUCCAUCAAGUAGGACACAACUCAGCAUCAAUUCUAACAUCCCCCACUCAUGUGCAUUCUGAAUCUUGCACUAGCUGAUAUGUCACAAAAUGGCAGACGUCGGAAUCGUACUCAUGCGUCAUUGGAGUGGAGGGGGCUCGAGAGCAUCUCUAAUAUUAUAUUAUCCAAAUGAUUGAUCGAGCAAGAAAAGGUUCGGCCAUCCUAUAUGCACUAAUUGAAGAGGUAACAAUAGAGAUAACAGAAUGAUUGACUGAAGUAUACAUCAUAAGAUGACAAAUGCAGGAAUCAAACUCAGAUCCCAUUGAAAUGAAGGGGCUUAAGAAUAGCAAGGAAAAAGGUCCAGUUGUGCAUGGUGAGUAUCCAGUAAAGCAUACUCCGUGCACCAACAAAAGAGAUUACAAAAAGAAAAGACACCUGAAUGACAGACAAAUGGCAGAUAUAAAAAUUGAACUCAACUCAAAUCCUAUUAAAAUGAAAGGGCUUAGGACUCUUUGCCUUAGAUUCCAAGAUAUCGUUUGGUUCGAGGAUAAGCAAAAAGUGGCUAUUCUAGAUAUAGGUAUAAAUUGAGGUAUAAGCGGGAAUGAGAUCAAUUUUGCGUUUGGAUAAAAAUUGGGUUAUUCUUGGGAAUAAAAAAAAAAUAGCGUUUGGUUAGGUAAGAUGGAAUAAGAAAGAUAGUGGAUUUUAUAAAUAAAAAAUAAUAAUAUUACCCUCUUAUUAUAUUUAAAUUUGAAUUUUUAAAUUUUUAAAUUUAUAUUUUUAAAUUUAAAAUUUUAACUUUGAAAUUUUAAAAUUUGAAAUUUAAAAUCUCAAAUUUUAAAUUCAAAAUUUUAAAUUUUAAAUUUCAAACUUUAAAUUUAAGAUCAAAUUUAAAUUUGAAAAAUAUAAAAUAUCAAAUUUUAAAUUUCAAAUUAAAAUAUCAAAAUUUAAAUUUAAAAUUUAAAAUUUAAAAUUUUGAAUUUAAAAUUUCAAUUAAAAUUUAAAUUUAAAAUCUCAAAUUUUAAAUUCAAAAUUUUAAAUUUUAAAUUUCAAACUUUAAAUUUAAGAUCAAAUUUAAAUUUGAAAAAUAUAAAAUAUCAAAUUUUAAAUUUCAAAAAUUUAAAAUAUCAAAAUUUAAAUUUGAAAUUUAGAAUUUAAAAGGCCAAUUUGCAUAAAAAAUCCACAAAUUUUUAACUUUUGCAAAACUAGACCACUAUUUUGGAUUUUGCAGAUUCGGUCUGAAUUUUCAAGACACUGACCAAAAUAUCUUUAUUCUCUUUUCUCUCUCUUCUUUUUUUUCUCUUUUUUUUUCUCUCUUUUUUUUUACGCCAUUAUUGUCGAGGCCAUGGACCUCUGCGCCCUCGAGCACAUCGCCGUGCUCAACACCGCCAACCUCCCCUGCGACUCCGCCCUCCUCCCCUCCCACCUCGAGUCCUGCUUCCGCGCCCUCAAAUCCUUCUCCGCCGCCAACAAUGGCACGCCGCUACCGCUCCAUCGAACCAAGAGCGCCGCGGCACCCCCUUCGCCGGUCAAGCCCAAGACGCCGACUUCUACGGGGACAGAUCUUGCUGUUGUCGCAAGGAAGGGUUCGAAGCCAAAUUCCCCAUUUGGGCUCUCUCCGCCCCCUCCGAUCGCGCCGCGGAGCUCUCAGAGAGGCAUCCCCUUCCCUCUCCCCUUCACCGUUGCGGCGCCAUACAUUGAUGUGUUGCUUCGCGUUCUCGCCCAAGAAGUCGGCAACGGCAUCGUCAUCGCCGAGGAGUGGCAGCGGCAACGGCGGCGGCAGCAAAGGGACGAGGGAUUUGGGGAAGGGAGAGAAAAGAAUAGAGGAAAAAAAAAGAGAGGGAGAGAGAGAGAAGGGAGCUUACACCAUUUAUACCAUUUAAAUAGUGUAAAAUGAUGUAAAAUCUAUUUAAAUGGUGUAAAAUAGUGUAAAUGGUGUAAAAUGCUGAGCUUACACCAUUUUACACUAUUUACCACUUACACCAUUUUACACUAUUUUGGAAAAUCUCCCCUCGUCCUCCUCAUGGCCAAGGUCCCUCGUUCUCGCCGCCUCCGACCAUCACUCCAUCCGGCGGCAGUGCUCAAGGCGAAGGCGGUGGCGACAGCGGCGCUAGAGGCGAAGGUGGAGGCGACGGCGGCGAGAAAGGGGCUGUCGAAGAAGGGUUGGCUGCUAGAGGCGGCGGUCGUUGCUGGCCCGCUGCUGCAUACCCUCCUCCCAGCCGGCCCGCUCCCUCGCUGGCGCCACCCCCGGCCCCCCUUGCUCGCCUUCGAAAUCCCCUCUGUCGCUGCCUCCCUCAACCCCAACCCCAACACCAACGUCAACAACAUCAACAUCACUGACCCCGACACCACGCCCACGUCUCCGCUUCGGGUGAUGAUGUCGGCGUCGUCCUCGCCGGAGAGCAACGGGUGCAAAUUACAGCAAUGGUAUCAUCAUACCGGCGGAGGCGGAGGCAGAGGUGAAGAGUCGGAGAGAAAAAAAAGAGCGUAAAAAAAAAAGAAGAGAGAGAAAAGAGAAUAAGGGUAUUUUGGUCAGUGUCCUAAAAAUUCGGACCGAAUCUGCAAAAUCCAAAAUAGUAGUCUAGUUUUGCAAAAGCUGAGAACUUGUGGAUUUUUUAUACAAAUUGGCUAAUUUAAAAUUAUAAACUUUAAUUUUAAGAUUACAGAUUUAUAAUUUUAAAAAUUUAAAUUUAUAAAUUUUAAAAUUUUAAAAUAAGAAUAGGAGUGGGAACAAUUAAUAAAAAUAAUUUAUUGUAAUAAAUUUAUAAUUUUUUUAAAAUUCUGCUUAAACUUAAAUUUAAUAAAAAGAAUUUAUUAUAAUAUUUAAGGCUAAAUUACAAAAAAACCCCUGUAAUAACCCGCUUUUUCACUUCCCCCCCCUGACAUUUAAAAACCUACACUUUGCCCCCUUGUAAAAUGAAAAAUGUUCACAGGGAGGUUACGGUGUGUAAAAUGACCAUUUUGCCCCUCGCCAUUUUCGUCUUCUUUCUCAUCUUCCUUAGCCGCCCCUUCGAUUGGCCGUGAUUCCCACUUCAAUCGGCCGCGAUUUCUCUCCAUUUCCUUCUCCACCUGCUCCCCUUCUCCUCUUGCAUCCUCGCCGCUCCUCAAUUUCGACAAUAAUAGGGAGGAAAUCGAGGUGGGUGUUUAUGGAGAGGUAGGCAAGGGCAAUGAGGGCGAAGGCGAGGCGGCGGAGGACGGCGAAGCGGAUGUGGGUGAGGGUGAGGCAGUGGAGGACGGCGAGGCGGCGAGCCGGAGGGAAGCGAAGCAACAAGGAAGAGGGCGGAUGGGUAUUUUCGGCAUAAAAAAAUAUUUUACAAUGGAACCCUAACGGUAGGGGGUGAAGUGCACAUUUUUCAUUUUACAAGGGGGCAAAGUGUAGGUUUUUAAAUGUCAGGGGGGGAAGUGAAAAAGCGGGCUAUUACAGGAGGGUUUUCUGUAAUUUAGCCAAUAUUUAAAUAUAAUUUAUUAUAAAAUUUAGACCAAUUUGCAUAAAAAAUCCACAAGUUUUGCGUUUUUGCAAAAGUGGGCCACUUUUUUCGAUUUUGCAGAUUCGGGCUUGAAUUUCAGCAAACUGACCAAAAUCUCGCUGUAGGCACCGGCGACGACGUUGAGCACGCUGAGCCCGCCCACCGUGUACCCCGCGUUCAGCUCCCCGCAGCACCCCACCAGCCCCAGCCCCUCCUCCGCCUCCAGCUCGUCCAGCAGUGUCAGGUUGAAGUCCCCCGGCACUGCGAACACCUCCCUCACCCCCACCUGCACCAGCCGCCGCGCCAGGUGCCGCCUCACCGUUGCCCCCUCCUUCACCUUCUCCCCUACCUUCCCCCUAACCCCGCCGGACAUCGCUCGCGCCGCUCCGCCGGACAUUCUUCUUUUUCUUCUUGCGGGAGUGACUCCCCUUCGUCCAUCUCCUGCAGGAAGAAGAAGAAGAGAAAAAAAAAAACAAAAGAAAAAAAAUGGUGCAAAAUUUUCUAAAUGGUGCAACCUUAAUCUAAAGAGUGUAAAAUCUAUUUCAAAAUAGUGUAAUUUUUAUAUCAAAUAGUGUAAUUUUUAUUAAAAUAGUGCAAAUUUUUUUUAAAACAGUGUAAUCUUAUUUUAAGAGUACAAUUUCAUCAUCUUCUUUCUUCUCCUAUAUUUUUUUAUCUUUUCUGUAGGAAAAAAAUAAUUUUUAUUUUUAUUUUUUAUUAUUCUUAUUUUUUUUUAUAAUUUUUUUUUGUCACCAUCUCUCCCUUGCUUUCUAUAGCAACCACCGCGACGUUGUCAGAGGCGGUCUCGCCACCUCCGACAAUGUCUCGGCACUUCGACGCGCGGUGGAGGAGAAGAGUCUGCGUCUCGACGUUGUCGUGCCCUAGUGGAGAAGAAGGGUAGCGACGCGGCCUCAAUAGGGUUGGAGGCGAGGAGGGCGGGGGUGCACCGGCGAGGGCGAGGACGUGCGAGGCAGAGCGAGGCGGGCUGUUUCCGCCUCUACCUCCGCUGCCUUCUUCGGAGAGAAAAAAAAGAACGAUAGAAAAAAAAAAGAGGAGAGAGAAAAAGUAAUAAGGGUAUUUUGAUCAAUUUGCUGAAAAUUCGGCCCGAAUCUGCAAAAUUGAAAAAAAUGGCCUAUUUUUGCAAAAACGUAAAACUUGUGGAUUUUUUAUGCAAAUUGGCCUAAAAUUUAUUAUAAUAUUUAAAUAUAAAAAAUACGUAUUAAUAUAAUACAAUUAUUAAUUUUAUAAUAAAAAUAAUGUAUUAUAAUAAUAUAUGAUAUAUUAUAUUUAUAUAAUUUAAUUUUAAUUCAAUUUAUAAUUUUAAUUAAAUUUGAAAUUAAGCAGUGGAAUAGCACUAUUCCACCAAAAUGGUGGAAUAGCAAAUCCCUUGCUAUUCCAAGAUAACCGGAAAUAGCAAGAUUUAAUCGGAAUAAAAUAUUCCGGUAGAAAAUCACCCCGUUUGGCGGAAUAGAAGGGAUAACUUUCGUUAUCCCCACUUAUUCCCGAACCAAACAUGCUUAAGUCUACUAUAUAGCAAGAAAAUAAAAUACAAAUAUUUUUCUAAAAAUUAUGAUCGGAUAAUUGAACAAAAAAAAAAAACAGCAGUAUAAUAUUAUCGUAUCGGAUCCUGGGGAUUACCUCGGAGGAUCCGGGGGUGGUGAAGCGGACGGAGGCGGCGUCAACGGCGAGGUCGGCGGCGUUGAGGACGAGGAAGCGCGUGGAGGAGGCGACGGCGACGGCGAUGGUCGCGGAUCCCGAGAAGGCGCAUCGAGCGAGGUCGACCCGCAGGGAGAUGACGUAACGCUUAGGGUUUGCGAACAGCGGGAGGCGGGCUUGGCCUUUGAAAUCCUCCACGCUCUGCUCCGCCUUCGCCAUUUUUCUGCCUUUCUCUCCUGCUCUCUCUCUCUCUCUCUCUCUCUCGCUCGCUCCUUUUUCUUUUUUCUUUUUUUUUUUGGCCCAUGUGAUGAUUCUUUAAGUAAAAUGACUGACUGAUUGAUUGAUUUGUACAAAUAUUAUAUUAUAUCAUAUAUAUAUAUAGGGUCCAGUACGAUCGCCCUCGUACUGAGUUGUUUUCGAUAAUAAAGCUUUCGAAUCGACGAUUCACACCGUUAACGUUAUUUACAUCAUUUAAAACUUCUAGAAAUCAAAUUUUAUAAUUUUUCGACAUCAUUUACCUUACGAUCAAGAAGUCACAAAUUUGACAAUUUUUAACGGUCGGUAUGGGAUACUUGCUAGUUUAAUAGUGUAAAAGAAUCAGAAUUUAUUGAAUUUUUUAUAGAAAAUUCUAUUCACUACAUAGAUAAAGAUCAAUAACUCUAAUCUUGAAUUGAAGGAUCCGAUCAUUCUUUUUUAGGACGUCGUUCGAUUUUUACCGUUCAUUUUAUGCCCACUUGAUGGGUUUUAUUAUGAUUUCGAAAAUUUACGAAAUUUAUUUUUUAGAACUUUCAAAUACUCUAGAUCAUAUUUAACGGAGUGGAUCGUCGAUUCGGAAGCUCGAUCAUCGAAAACAACUUAUGAUUACGAUGGCUCUAAUACUCAUAAUAGUAUAGUAGCCAUAGCCUAUAUAUAUAUAUAUAUAUAUAUAUAUAUAGAGCGUCUGGUAUGCUUAUGGAAGCACGGAGCGCUCNUUGGUACUAUUGAGUUUUCGGCCGUUGAAUGAAAGGAUGUGCGGUUAGGAUAAUAGUGAUUCCCGGUUAAAUUGAUAGUGGUCCCCUAGGGUUGAGUGGGUGGUUGGUUUAAUAGUAUAAUCUAACGGGUGAAAAUAAUCAAAUGGUAGAUCUAACGGUAGAAAACUCAAUAGUACCAAGGGCUUGGUACUAUCAAUAGUAUAGUAGCCGGACCAUAUAUAUAUAUAUGGUCCGGCUACUAUACUAUUAUGAGUACGAUCGCCCUCGUACUCAUAAGUUGUUUUCAAUGAUCGAGCUUCCGAAUCGACGAUCCACACCGUUAAACGUUAUUUACAGUAUUUAAAAUUUCUAGAAAUCAAAUUUUAUAAUUUUUCGACAUCAUUUACCUUAUGAUCAAGAGGUCACAAAUUUGAUAAUUUUUAACGGCCGGUAUAGGGUACUUGCUAGUUUAACGGUGUAAAAGAAUCGAAAUUUGUUGAAUUUUUGAUAGAAAAUUCUAUUCACUACAUAGAUAAAGAUCAAUAACUCCGAUCUUGAAUUGAAGGAUACGAUCGAUCCUUUUUUAAAGACGUCGUGUCGCCAGUUUUGACGUUCAUAUUUAUGGACACACUUAAUGGAUUUUUUAUGAUUUCGAAAAUUUACGAAAUUAUUUUCUAGAGUUUAAUAACUCUAGAUCAUAUUUAACGAGUCUGAUCAAUCGAUUUGGACGUCAUCAUUGGAAAACACUUAUGAGUACGAGGCUCCAUACUAGUAAAGGUUAGAGCAUAGCAGCUAUAUAUAACUAUAAUAUAUAUAUAUAUGGAGUCAAAUUCAAAUAACAUAAGUGUACAAUGAUAUUUACACUCUUUUUGAACCGUAGAUUUAAGUACAUCCAAGGAUUGAGAUGAAACAAUGGGCAACUUUUUGUUCUUUGCUGAAACACUCUUCCUAUUAUAGGAUUUGACAUCACGCAGUAGCCUUGGGUUUCACUCCUUUUUUUUUUCCCCUCCAUUUGUAAACCUACUGUAUAAUCAGUUUUCUUUACUAACUGAGAUGACUUUGGUGAUAAUUUCAAAUAUAAGUAAAAUUUUACAGCAAAAUAAUUCAUAUAAAAACUGACAAUAUUUAGAUAAAAAUUAUCAACAUUUUAUUUCUUUUCGAUGCUUUUUGGAUGGUUGCAAUUGAUUUUAAUACACUGAAAUUUAAUUUUAUAAAAAAUUCAAAAUUUAAUUAGUGCAACAAUUCAUAUCAAAAUAAAUAAUAUUUUUUAUAAUUAUUUAGCAAAGUAAAGUUCAAUGGCAAUUAAGCAAUGUGACAAAUAGCUAAAUGCUAAGCUAUUUAUCUAACUCACAUGACACGUUAAAAAAUUAGUGGACAAUGUACGUUUCAUAAUAUUACUUAAUGUGAAAUCAAGGCUAUUAAGUGGUGUCACAUCCUAUGGAGAGAAGAGUAUUUUGACAUAAAAAUAAAAAAGUUGCCAUUGGUUUACCUCGAUCCUUGGAUAUUUAGAUCAACGGUUCAAAAGAGGUGUAAUACUGUUUAUUAUUACACUUAUGUUAUUUGACUUGACUCUAUAUAUAUAUAUAUAUAUGUUAGAGCUAGGCUCCUAUGCUUUCGAAAGUACGGGAGCCUCCGUACUUGUAAGUUGUAUUUCGAUGAUGGGACAUCGAUUGCGGCGAUCGGUUCCGUUAGACAUGAUCUACGCUAUUGGAACUAUCUAGAAACCAAAUUUCAUAAUUUUUUGACUUCGGUUGCUUAAUGUGAACGAGUAGCCUCAAAUAUAACGGCUAAAAUAAAAAUUCAUAAAAAUAAUGAUAAAGGACUCAAAUUUCAAAUCGGAAGUAUUGAUCUUGCUAUUGACGUUUAAUAGAAUUUUCUUUUAAAUUUUCAUGUAAUUUGGAUACUUUAACACCGUUGAACUAUUAAAACGUGCCGCAUCGGCCUGUUUAAAAUAGUUAUUUUUGGGACCUUUUGAUCGCUUAGUAAAUGAUGUCAAAAAAUUAUAAAAUUUGCUUUUGAUUGUUCAAUAUAGGUAGAUUAACCUAUAGAGGCGAUUCGUCCGAAACGUUGCUAUCAUCGAAAAAACUUACAAGCACGGAGGUCCUAACGCACAAAACCAUACCCAAGUAUUCGAAAGUAUAGUGACGCUAUGCUUCUUCCUCUCUCUCCUCUCUCUCUCUCUCUCUCUCUCUCUCUGCAAUCCUCUCUCUCUCUAUAAUACUUAUAUCAUAUAUACCUAUUAUAAAUUAUUAUAUAUAAUUAUAAGUAUAUAUAUAUAUAUAUAUAUAUAGUACGUCUCCCGUGUUUUCGAAAGUACAGAGACAUCCGUGCUUGUAAGUUGUUUUCGAUGAUAGGACAUCCGAUUCGACGAUCAGCUUCGUUAGGCAUAAUCUAUGCUAUUUGAACUAUCUAGAAACCAAAUUUUAUAAUUUUUCGACUUCAUUUACCAAGCGAUCAGAGGGUCUCAAAAAUGACUAUUUUAACGGCCGAUAUGGCACGUUUUUAAGUUUAACGGUGUAGAAGUAUCCAAAUUACAUGAAACUUUAAUAAAAAAUUCUACUUAACAUCAAGAGCAAGAACAAUACUUCCGAUUUAAAAUUUGAGUCUUUUAUCACUGUUUUUUAUGAGAUUUUUAUUUUCAACCGUUCAUUUUGAGGCUACUCGUUAACUAGGCAAAUGAAAUUAAAAAUUAUGAAAUUUGGUUUUUAGAUAGUUCUAAUAGCAUAGAUCAUAUCUAACGGAACCGAUCGCCGAAUUGGACGUCCCAUCAUCGAAAACAACUUACAAGUACGGAGGCCUCCAUACUUUCGAAAGCAUAGGAGCCUAGCUCUCUCUCUCUCUCUCUCUCUCUCUCUCUAUAUAUAUAUAUAUAUAUAUAUAUAUAUAUAUAGAGUAGAGCUAGAAUACUUGUAAAAGUAU